GACAGACACACCUGGUGGUAAGGGUGUGGAGGCAGCAAGUUCAGCUUUGAACACAGGAAAGCCUAAUGCUAAGUGUGCUGCAAGCUGCGUGAUAGCUACAGGACAAAAGGAUCACUUUAUGGCUCUCCAUUUCUGUUUCUCAAAGCUGCUGUCCAAUCUGAGGAACCACUGUGGUAAUAAAUUCCACAGAUAACUGGCCUGGGCCCAAGUGAACUUUUUGGGAAGAUCGAAACAAAACAGAAUGAAGUGGCAGAAACCCAC
ensembl:lncRNA